UACGUAGGGUGCGAGCGUUAAUCGGAAUUACUGGGCGUAAAGGGUGCGCAGGCGGCUCCGCAUGUCGGGCGUGAAAUCCCCGGGCUUAACCUGGGAAUUGCGUCCGAAACUAUGGAGCUGGAGUGUGGCAGAGGGAGGUGGAAUUCCACGUGUAGCGGUGAAAUGCGUAGAUAUCGGGAGGAACACCUGUGGCGAAAGCGGCUCACUGGACCACAACUGACGCUGAGGCGCGAAAGCUAGGGGAGCAAACAGG
rnacentral:rRNA from 1 species